AAAAAUUGGACUGUACAGUGAGAAAGGAACUUAAUUUAAUAACAAAAAAAUCAGAAAAUUUGUUUAAUUCCAUCACAUGUAAUACUGUGUUAGGUGUUGAUAAUAGUGAUCAUCUGCUUCCUAAUAACCCAUGCUCAAAAACGGAAAAGUGAUGCUACUGAUAGUAAAGGAUCAAGAAGAAGGAAAUCAUUACAAAUUGGUAAUAAUUUGUUCUGCGGAGAGAAGAACACCUUAGGAAGGAGAUGUAGAAGGGGAGGACUUUGCAUAAGAAUGAAUAACCGCACUUUUAGAUGCCUAAAAGAAAGACCAGCUGGUAAAAAGCCAAUCCCUCUUUCGGAACAAUUGUUUUCCAAGAAUCAGGUAAUUUUAAAAUUCAAACAUUUCAAAAUAUAUCUUUUCAGUUGGUGUAUAGUUGCAGGAAUCAUGAAUGCAAGGAAACAGACAGUAUAAAUUUAGAACUGUUCUUUCUGCGCCCAAAAGUUAAGAGUAUCUUUGAACAAAACUUCUGAGAUUCCUUUUUGGGGUUUAUACAUUUGAAUUAAAGAUUUACAUUAAGAAAAAGAAUAUAAAAAAUAUAUAAAACUAUAACCAUAUAAAAAAUGUUGAGAUACUUACAAAACUGCCUCACCCAUCCGUGAAACCCUAUUUCCAACAUAACAAAACCCUGUCUGAAGUUUUGGGCUCUGAAGUCUCAUCCUGUACCAUGAUGCUAGGUGCAGGAGAUGCAGACCACAUCUUGGUCAACGAAUUGCCAUUAUGGCAGAGGGAUUUUAUAGUUCAAAAAGGUGCUCUGGUGUUUUCUUGGGUGAAAUCAACCAAAAGAUGGAAGCAAACUGCAUCUAAUCUUUAUGAUCAAAACACUUGUUUGCAAUAUAUGUA